UACGGGGGGGGGUAAGCGUUGUUCGGAAUUACUGGGCGUAAAGGGCUCGUAGGCGGCCAACUAAGUCAGACGUGAAAUCCCUCAGCUUAACUGGGGAACUGCGUCUGAUACUGGAUGGCUUGGAUUUGGGAGAGGAAUGCGGAAUUCCAGGUGUAGCGGUGAAAUGCGUAGAUAUCUGGAGGAACACCGGUGGCGAAGGCGGCAUUCUGGACCAAUAUUGACGCUGAGGAGCGAAAGCCAGGGGAGCAAACGGG
rnacentral:rRNA from 1 species